rnacentral:rRNA from 1 species
GACGAACGCUGGCGGCGUGCUUAACACAUGCAAGUCGAACGGAAAGGCCCUGCUUUUGUGGGGUGCUCGAGUGGCGAACGGGUGAGUAACACGUGAGUAACCUGCCCUUGACUUUGGGAUAACUUCAGGAAACUGGGGCUAAUACCGGAUAGGAGCUCCUGCUGCAUGGUGGGGGUUGGAAAUUUUCGGCGGUAGGGGAUGGACUCGCGGCUUAUCAGCUUGUUGGUGGGGCAGUGGCUUACCAAGGCUUUGACGGGUAGCCGGCCUGAGAGGGUGACCGGCGACAUUGGGACUGAGAUACGGACCAGAGUGCAACGGGGGGCAGUGGGGGGGAAUAUUGCACAAUGGGCGGGAGUCUGAGGCAGAGGCGCCGGGUGCGGGAUGACGGCUUUCGUGUUGUAAACCGCUGUCGCCUGUGACGAAGCGGGAGUGACGGUAAUGGGUAAAGAAGCACCGGCUAACUACGUG